CCCUCUUGGACCUAUCUAUCAAUCCAUGGACCUAAUAAUUUAAUUUUCUAGUAAAUAAAAUAAAUGCUAUAAACAAAACAAAGUAUGUGUACAAAACAUGCGUCUUGAAUUGGUUAGCAAUACUUUUCUUUAUUCUUUCCUGUAAAUUUUUAAUUCAUAAAAUUUUAAAAACUGGGUAAACUUUAGCCCAUACCCAGUCCAGGAAAAAAACCAACGAUUCACAGCGGAGCUUCUGCGCCUUCUGACAGUGGGAUGAAGAGGGCAUACACAAAAUCACGCAACUCUCUCCAAGAGAAGCCAAUGCAUUUCACACAAAUUGAGCGGCUGAUUUAUUCUCAACAGAUUUGGCCCGAGAUGACGAGGCCUGGUUGAAGGCGAACAAGUGUCAACUGGAGACGUCUUCUCACCCAGAGCAGCUACUUGCAGGCGCCUUUGGAACACUUCAAGCAGCCAAAAAACAAAAAUUGCAGAAAGCAGACAGACACAUCGCAUCAAAGAGUACAAAAAAUUAUUUCAAAGAAAAUUGAAAAUGUAUAACAAACGAUAUAAUAUAUAAUAAAAGAACUCAUGUAACUUUUUUUAAUAAAGCUAUUUCAACUGAUAGG